AUUGAACGCUGGCGGCAGGCCUAACACAUGCAAGUCGAACGAGUGGCGGACGGGUGAGUAAUGUCUGGGAAUCUGCCUGAUGGAGGGGGAUAACUACUGGAAACGGUAGCUAAUACCGCAUACCAUCAGAUGUGCCCAGAUGGGAUUAGCUAGUUGGUGGGGUAAAGGCUCACCAAGGCGACGAUCCCUAGCUGGUCUGAGAGGAUGAUCAGCCACACUGGAACUGAGACACGGUCCAGACUCCGACGGGAGGCAGCAGUGGGGAAUAUUGCACAAUGGGGGCAAGCCUGAUGCAGCCAUGCCGCGUGUAUGAAGAAGUCCUUCGGGUUGUAAAGGACUUUCAGCGGGGAGGCGUGACCCGCAGAAGAAGCACCGGCUAACUCCGUGCCAGCAGCCGCGGUAAUAC
rnacentral:rRNA from 1 species